AACGAACGCUGGCGGCGUGCCUAACACAUGCAAGUCGUGCGAGAAAGUUCCUUCGGGAGCGAGUAAAGCGGCGCACGGGUGAGUAACACGUAGGUAACCUGCCCCCCAGUCUGGAACAACUAGAGGAAACUCUAGCUAAUGCCGGAUGAGACCACGAUCCCUUCGGGGGUUGCGGCCAAAGAUGGCCUCUACUUGUAAGCUAUCGCUGAGGGAUGGGCCUGCGGGCCAUUAGCUUGUUGGUGAGGUAACGGCUCACCAAGGCUGUGAUGGCUAGCUGGUCUGAGAGGAUGACCAGCCACACUGGGACUGAGACACGGCCCAGACUCCUACGGAGGCAGCAGUGGGGAAUAUUGCGCAAUGGGCGAAAGCCUGACGCAGCGACGCCGCGUGGGUGAUGAAGGCCU
rnacentral:rRNA from 1 species